rfam:Nematostella vectensis strain CH2 x CH6 NEMVEscaffold_18_Cont3432, whole genome shotgun sequence.
GGUAGCGUGGCCGAGCGGUCUAAGGCGCUGGUUUAAGUCACCAGUCUCGAAAGAGGCGUGGGUUCGAAUCCCACCGCUGCCA